rnacentral:tRNA from 1 species
GGAAGGGUCGCCUAGAGGCCGAUGGCGCGUGCUUGGAAAGCACGUAUACCGCAAGGUAUCGAGGGUUCGAAUCCCUCUCCUUCCGC